CCUACGGGGGGCAGCAGUGGGGAAUAUUGGGCAAUGGGCGCAAGCCUGACUCAGCAAUGCCGCGUGAAGGAAGAAGGCUUUCGGGUUGUAAACUUCUUUGACAGGGGAAGAGCAGAAGACGGUACCCUGAAAACAAGCCACGGCUAACUACGUGCCAGCAGCCGCGGUAAUACGUAGGGGGCGAGCGUUAUCCGGAUUCACUGGGUGUAAAGGGAGCGUAGACGGCCAAGCAAGCCAGGGGUGAAAGCCCGGGGCCCAACCCCGGGACUGCCCUUGGAACUGCAUGGCUGGAGUGCGGGAGGGGCAGGCGGAAUUCCUGGUGUAGCGGUGAAAUGCGUAGAUAUCAGGAGGAACACCGGCGGCGAAGGCGGCCUGCUGGACCGCGACUGACGUUGAGGCUCGAAAGCGUGGGGAGCGAACAGGAUUAGAUACCCUAGUAGUC
rnacentral:rRNA from 1 species